rnacentral:rRNA from 1 species
GACGAACGCUGGCGGCGUGCUUAACACAUGCAAGUCGAACGGAAAGGCCCUGCUUUUGUGGGGUGCUCGAGUGACGAACGGGUGAGUAACACGUGAGUAACCUGCCCUUGACUUUGGGAUAACUUCAGGAAACUGGGGCUAAUACCGGAUAGGAGCUCCUGCUGCAUGGUGGGGGUUGGAAAGUUUCGGCGGUUGGGGAUGGACUCGCGGCUUAUCAGCUUGUUGGUGGGGUAGUGGCUUACCAAGGCUUUGACGGGUAGCCGGCCUGAGAGGGUGACCGGCCACAUUGGGACUGAGAUACGGACCAGACUCCUACGGGAGGCAGCAGUGGGGAAUAUUGCACAAUGGGCGGAAGCCUGAUGCAGCAACGCCGCGUGCGGGAUGACGGCCUUCGGGUUGUAAACCGCUUUCGCCUGUGACGAAGCGUGAGUGACGGUAAUGGGUAAAGAAGCACCGGCUAACUACGUG